AUUGAACGCUGGCGGCAGGCUUAACACAUGCAAGUCGAACGCCCCGCAAGGGGAGUGGCAGACGGGUGAGUAGCGCGUGGGAAUCUACCCAGAUCUACGGAACAACAGAGGGAAACUUCUGCUAAUACCGUAUACGCCCUACGGGGGAAAGAUUUAUCGGAUUUGGAUGAGCCCGCGUAAGAUUAGCUAGUUGGUGGGGUAAUGGCCUACCAAGGCGACGAUCUUUAGCUGGUCUGAGAGGAUGAUCAGCCACACUGGGACUGAGACACGGCCCAGACUCCUACGGGAGGCAGCAGUGGGGAAUAUUGGACAAUGGGCGCAAGCCUGAUCCAGCCAUGCCGCGUGAGUGAUGAAGGCCUUAGGGUUGUAAAGCUCUUUCACCGAUGAAGAUAAUGACGGUAGUCGGAGAAGAAGCCCCGGCUAACUUCGUGCCAGCAGCCGCCGUAA
rnacentral:rRNA from 1 species